CCUACGGGCGGCAGCAGUGAGGAAUAUUGGUCAAUGGACGAGAGUCUGAACCAGCCAAGUAGCGUGAAGGAUGACUGCCCUAUGGGUUGUAAACUUCUUUUAUAUGGGAAUAACAUGUUCCACGUGUGGGAUUUUGUAUGUACCAUAUGAAUAAGGAUCGGCUAACUCCGUGCCAGCAGCCGCGGUAAUACGGAGGAUCCGAGCGUUAUCCGGAUUUAUUGGGGUUAAAGGGAGCGUAGGUGGAUUGUUAAGUCAGUUGUGAAAGGUUGCGGCUCAACCGUAAAAUUGCAGUUGAAACUGGCAGUCUUGAGUACAGUAGAGGUGGGCGGAAUUCGUGGUGUAGCGGUGAAAUGCUUAGAUAUCACGAAGAACUCCGAUUGCGAAGGCAGCCCACUGGACUGCAACUGACACUGAGGCUCGAAAGUGUGGGUAUCAAACAGGAUUAGAUACCCGGGUAGUC
rnacentral:rRNA from 1 species